CCUACGGGGCGCAGCAGUGAGGAAUAUUGGUCAAUGGGCGAGAGCCUGAACCAGCCAAGUCGCGUGAGGGAGUACUGCCCUAUGGGUUGUAAACCUCUUUUGUCGGGGAGCAAAAGCCGGACGUGUCCGGCUGUGAGAGUACCCGAAGAAAAAGCAUCGGCUAACUCCGUGCCAGCAGCCGCGGUAAUACGGAGGAUGCGAGCGUUAUCCGGAUUUAUUGGGUUUAAAGGGUGCGCAGGCGGAUUUUUAAGUCAGCGGUAAAAUCGUGGGGCUCAACCCCAUCCAGCCGUUGAAACUGGGGAUCUAGAGUGUGCGAGAGGUAUGCGGAAUGCGUGGUGUAGCGGUGAAAUGCAUAGAUAUCACGCAGAACCCCGAUUGUGAAGGCAGCAUACCGGUGCACAACUGACGCUCAGGCACGAAAGCGUGGGUAUCGAACAGGAUUAGAUACCCCUGUAGUC
rnacentral:rRNA from 1 species